rnacentral:rRNA from 1 species
UGGGGAAUUUUGGACAAUGGGCGAAAGCCUGAUCCAGCAAUGCCGCGUGUGUGAAGAAGGCCUUCGGGUUGUAAAGCACUUUUGUCCGGAAAGAAAUCCUUGGCUCUAAUACAGUCGGGGGAUGACGGUACCGGAAGAAUAAGCACCGGCUAACUACGUGCCAGCAGCCGCGGUAAUACGUAGGGUGCAAGCGUUAAUCGGAAUUACUGGGCGUAAAGCGUGCGCAGGCGGUUUGCUAAGACCGAUGUGAAAUCCCCGGGCUCAACCUGGGAACUGCAUUGGUGACUGGCAGGCUAGAGUAUGGCAGAGGGGGGUAGAAUUCCACGUGUAGCAGUGAAAAUGCGUAGAGAUGUGGAGGAAUACCGAUGGCGAAGGCAGCCCCCUGGGCCAAAUACUGACGCUCAUGCACGAAAGCGUGGGGAGCAAACAGGAUUAGAUACCCUGGUAGUCCACGCCCUAAAACGAUGUCAACUAGUUGUUGGGGAUUCAUUUCCUUAGUAACGUAGCUAACGCGUGAAGUUGACCGCCUGGGGAGUAACGGUCGCAAGAUUAAAAACUCAAAGGAAUUGACGGGGUCAUAGCUGUUUCCU